UACGUAGGGGGCUAGCGUUGUCCGGAAUCAUUGGGCGUAAAGAGCGUGUAGGCGGCCCGGUAAGUCCGCUGUGAAAGUCGGGGGCUCAACCCUCGAAUGCCGGUGGAUACUGUCGGGCUAGAGUGCGGAAGAGGCGAGUGGAAUUCCUAGUGUAGAGGUGAAAUUCGUAGAUAUUAGGAAGAACACCAGUGGCGAAGGCGGCUCACUGGCCCGGUACUGACGCUGAGGCGCGAAAGCGUGGGGAGCAAACAGG
rnacentral:rRNA from 1 species